CAUGGUGGUGGGAGCCUGUAAUCCCACUUACGAGGCUGAGGCAGGAGAAUUGCUUGAACCCAGGAGGCGGAGGCUGCAGUGAGCUGUGAUUGAGCCACUGUACUACAGUCUGGGUGACAAAGUGAGACCCUGUCUCAAUAAUAGUAAUAGUAAUAAUAAUUGCAUCUAAUUUUCACGUCUGAGAAGAUUCUUUUAACUUAGGGCUAAAGCAAUCAAUGAUCCUUUUAAACGAGUGGUUCCUAAGCAUAUAUGCCAUAAUCAGACAUCUAGAACUGGAAAUGGACCAUCAGAUCAAAGUCCAUGAGGACUCCCACCAGCAUCAGUCUCCAAGAAUCUGUACGUGGCUCCCAGAGACUGAGACCA
rnacentral:lncRNA from 1 species